rnacentral:rRNA from 1 species
CGGGGUGAGGAAUACAUCGGAAUCUGCCUUGUUGUGGGGGAUAACGUAGGGAAACUUACGCUAAUACCGCAUAAGACCUUAGGGUGAAAGCGGAGGACCUUCGGGCUUCGCGCGACAAGAUGAGCCGAUGUCGGAUUAGCUAGUUGGCGGGGUAAAGGCCCACCAAGGCGACGAUCCGUAGCUGGUCUGAGAGGAUGAUCAGCCACACUGGGACUGAGACACGGCCCAG